AAAAAGGGCUUUUGUCAUGAGUGGCACAUGUAGGGCAACUCAAUUGCUCUUCGUGCAAAAUCGACAUCAAGAGAUUUUGGAAACAUAAUUGUUUGGUAGUUGGGCAGCUGGUGAUUGUUGGUCCUGACACAUUU
ensembl:snRNA